rnacentral:misc_RNA from 1 species
CUUAUUUGGAGCAGCGAACUGAGAUCACAACGAGCUGGAGGAAAACUAUUCAACCACACAUCAUGAAUCGACAACUUCAACGACCAUUCUGAACAGAUUUGAGAGGAGGACCGUCAAUUUAUUCACAAGGACGAUUGAGGCGCGAAGAUGAAGACACCUGGAAAUUCUUGUACAAAUGGAUAAGAACGGAGGAGAGGGACGCUCAGGCUGUUUGACAAAAUUUCUCGUGAUUUCGUUCAAUUGCAUCUAAGUGAUUUUUUUUCUAGGUUUUUUUGUUACGUAUGGGGAAG